UACGUAGGGACCAAGCGUUGUUCGGAUUUACUGGGCGUAAAGGGCGCGUAGGCGGCGUGGUAAGUCACUUGUGAAAUCUCUGAGCUUAACUCAGAACGGCCAAGUGAUACUGCUGUGCUAGAGUGCAGAAGGGGCAAUCGGAAUUCUUGGUGUAGCGGUGAAAUGCGUAGAUAUCAGGAGGAACACCGGUGGCGAAGGCGGUUCUCUGGGCAUGUCCUGACGCUGAGGAGCGAAAGUGUGGGGAGCGAACAGG
rnacentral:rRNA from 1 species